CUACAGCAUGAUAAACAGAGAGCAGAAUACUAACCUUUUCUGACUCGGAAUUUUCUGAACAAGAUUUAAACUUUUCAUGGAUGAUGUAAUUAAGUGGGGAGAAGGUGGUGAGAAGGGCGAGGAGCAAAAGGGAAGUGGUGAUGAAGAGAGGGGAGAGAAAAGAGAGGAGUUUAAGGAGGUAAGGAGAGAAGAAAAUGAAGUAAGAAAAGUAAAGAGGGUGAGAGAGAAUGAAGUAACAGAAGAGAGUUAAGUCGGAGAUGAGGAGACCAAAAAAUUUAAUACAAAUGUUUGAUAAGCACAGUACAGACAUUUUUUUUUUUGUUCUCCAGGAGAGAAGGUAGAUGAGUGGAGAAUUUAGAAAUGGAAGAUGGAGAGAAUUUAGACUGUUGUUUCCAUUUUAGUUUAAGCAAAGAGGUAGAAGAAAAGUUGUCGGAUUGUGAAU
rnacentral:lncRNA from 1 species